rnacentral:rRNA from 1 species
AUACGGAGGACGCGAGCGUUAUCCGGAUUCAUUGGGUUUAAAGGGUGCGCAGGCGGCCGUGCAAGUCAGCGGUGAAAGCCCGGGGCUCAACCCCGGAAGUGCCGUUGAUACUGCAUGGCUGGAAUGCGGUCGAGGCGGGCGGAACGUGGCGUGUAGCGGGGAAAUGCGUAGAUAUGCCACAGAACGCCGAUAGCGGAGGCAGCUCGCCAGGCCUGCAUUGGCGCUCGGGCACGAAAGCGUGGGGAUCGAACAGGAUUAAAUACCCUGGUAGUCCACGCCGUAAACGAUGGGCGCUCGUCGUCGGCGGCAGACAGUCGGCGGCAAGCGAAAGCGAUAAGCGCCCCACCUGGGGAGUACGGUCGCAAGGCUGAAACUCAAAUGAAUUGACGGGG